CCUACGGGGGGCUGCAGUAAGGAAUAUUGGUCAAUGGACGAAAGUCUGAACCAGCCAUCCCGCGUGCAGGAUGAAAGCCCUAUGGGUUGUAAACUGCUUUUAGCAGAGAAGAAAAGCUUUCAUUAAUGAGAGUCUGACGGUAUCUGCAGAAUAAGCACCGGCUAACUCCGUGCCAGCAGCCGCGGUAAUACGGAGGGUGCCAGCGUUACCCGGUUUAACGGGGUGGAAGGGGUAGUAAGACGGAGUAGGUGAAAUUUUGUCGCUUAACGAUAAAAUUGCCAAUGAUACUGGUACUCUUGAAGUGGGUUGAGGUUAGCGGAAUGUGACAUGUAGCGGUGAAAUGCAUAGAUAUGUCAUGGAACACCAAUUGCGAAGGCAGCUAACUGGGCCUUGAUUGACGCUGAGGCACGAAAGCGUGGGUAGCGAACAGGAUUAGAUACCCUGGUAGUC
rnacentral:rRNA from 1 species